GAAGCAACAGUUAGAACUGGACAUGGGCCAAUGAACUGCUGAGUGUCGGAAGUGUGCUAUAUUAAUGGCAGGAUUUUCGCUAACACCAGUAGAGCUUGCCUCUAUGACUGGAGUUUGAUAGUACUCGCUGCCACAUGA
ensembl:snoRNA SNORA62 Small nucleolar RNA SNORA62/SNORA6 family